rnacentral:rRNA from 1 species
AGCACCGGCUAACUCCGUGCCAGCAGCCGCGGUAAUACGGAGGGUGCAAGCGUUAUCCGGAUUUAUUGGGUUUAAAGGGUCCGUAGGCGGAUGUGUAAGUCAGUGGUGAAAUCUCACAGCUUAACUGUGAAACUGCCAUUGAUACUGCAUGUCUUGAGUGUUGUUGAAGUAGCUGGAAUAAGUAGUGUAGCGGUGAAAUGCAUAGAUAUUACUUAGAACACCAAUUGCGAAGGCAGGUUACUAAGCAACAACUGACGCUGAUGGACGAAAGCGUGGGGAGCGAACAGGAUUAGAUACCCUGGUAGUCCACGCCGUAAACGAUGCUAACUCGUUUUUGGUAUUUCGGUAUCAGAGACUAAGCGAAAGUGAUAAGUUAGCCACCUGGGGAGUACGAACGCAAGUUUGAAACUCAAAGGAAUUGACGGGGGCCCGCACAAGCGGUGGAUUAUGUGGUUUAAUUCGAUGAUACGCGAGGAACCUUACCAAGGCUUAAAUGGGAAAUGACAGGCUUAGAAAUAGGCUUUUCUUCGGACAUUUUUCAAGGUGCUGCAUGGUUGUCGUCAGCUCGUGCCGUGAGGUGUUAGGUUAAGUCCUGCAACGAGCGCAACCCCUGUCACUAGUUGCCAUCAUUAAGUUGGGGACUCUAGUGAGACUGCCUACGCAAGUAGAGAGGAAGGUGGGGAUGACGUCAAAUCAUCACGGCCCUUACGCCUUGGGCCACACACGUAAUACAAUGGCCGGUACAGAGGGCAGCUACACAGCGAUGUGAUGCAAAUCUCGAAAGCCGGUCUCAGUUCGGAUUGGAGUCUGCAACUCGACUCCAUGAAGGCGGAGUCGCUAGUAAUCCCGGAUCAGCAACGCCGGGGUGAAUACGUUCCCGGGCCUUGUACACACCGCCCGUCACACCACGAAAGUCAGCAACACCCGAAGUCAGUGGCCU